rnacentral:rRNA from 1 species
AUGUGUGAUGCUAGCGAUUAUGCAGUAGGUGCUGUGCUAGGGCAAAGAGUUGAUAAGAAAUUAAAUGUUAUUCAAUAUGCUAGUAAAACUCUAGACAGUGCCCAGAGAAAUUAUGCCACUACUGAAAAAGAAUUCUUAGCAGUUGUAUUUGCUUGUGAUAAGUUCAGACCAUAUAUCGUUGAUUCUAAAGUAACUAUUCGCACUGAUCAUGCUGCUAUUAAAUAUCUUAUGGAAAAGAAAGAUGCUAAACCUAGACUUAUUAGAUGGGUUCUCUUGCUACAAGAAUUUAAUUUGCAUAUUAUUGAUAGAAAGGGAGCUGAGAACCCCGUUGCAGACAACUUGUCUAGGUUAGAGAAUGUUCUUGAUGACCCACUACCUAUUGAUGAUAGCUUUUCUGAUGAACAAUUAAAUGUCAUAAAUGCUUCUCGUACUGCUCCAUGGUAUGCUGAUUAUGCUAAUUACAUAGUUGCUAAAUUUAUACCACCUAGUUUCACAUACCAGCAAAAGAAAAAGUUCUUCUAUGAUUUAAGGCAUUACUUUUGGGAUGACCCACAUCUUUAUAAAGGAGUAGAUGGUGUUAUUAGAAGUUGUGUACCUGAGCAUGAACAAGAACAGAUCCUACGCAAGUGUCACUCCGAGGCUUAUGGAGGACACCACGCUGGAGAUAGAACUGCACAUAAGGUAUUGCAAUCCGGUUUUUAUUGGCCUACACUCUUCAAGGACGCCCGUAAGUUUGUCUUAUCUUGUGAUGAAUGUCAGAGAAUAGGUAAUAUUAGUAGACGUCAAGAAAUGCCUAUGAACUAUUCACUUGUUAUUGAACCAUUUGAUGUUUGGGGCAUUGAUUAUAUGGGACCGUUUCCCGCCUCUAAUGGAUAUACACAUAUUUUAGUUGCUGUUGAUUACGUUACUAAGUGGGUAGAAGCUAUUCCAACUAGUAGUGCUGAUCAUAACACCUCUAUUAAGAUGCUUAAAGAAGUCAUAUUUCCGAGGUUUGGAGUCCCUAGAUAUUUAAUGACUGAUGGUGGUUCACACUUUAUUCAUGGUGCUUUCCGUAAAAUGCUUGCUAAGUAUGAUGUUAAUCAUAGAAUUGCAUCUCCUUAUCAUCCACAGUAUAGUGGUCAAGUAGAAUUGAGUAAUAGAGAACUUAAAUUAAUUUUGCAAAAGACUGUUAAUAGAUCUAGAAAGAAUUGGUCCAAGAAACUUGAUGAUGCAUUAUGGGCCUAUAGAACUGCAUACAAAAAUCCUAUGGGUAUGUCUCCUUAUAAAAUGGUUUAUGGAAAAGCAUGUCACUUACCUCUUGAAUUAGAACAUAAGGCAUAUUGGGCUAUUAAGGAGCUCAACUAUGAUUUCAAACUUGCCAGCGAGAAGAGGUUAUUUGACAUUAGCUCACUUGAUGAAUGGAGAACCCAAGCUUACAAAAAUGCCAAGUUGUUUAAAGAAAAAGUUAAAAGAUGGCAUGAUAAAAGAAUACAAAAGCGUGAGUUUAAUGCAGGUGAUUAUGUAUUAUUAUACAACUCUCAUUUAAGAUUUUUUGUAGGAAAACUUCUCUCUAAAUGGGAAGGUCCUUACGUUAUCGAAGAGGUCUAUCGUUCCAGUGCCAUAAAAAUCAACAAGUUCAAAGGCACAAAUCUGAAGGUGGUGAACGGUCAAAGAAUCAAACAUUAUAUCUCAGGUAAUCCUAUAAAUGUUGAAACUAAUAUUAUAGAAACCGUAACCCCGGAGGAAUACAUAAGGGACACUGUCCAGAACAUUUCAGACUCUGAAAAGGAAUAG